rnacentral:rRNA from 1 species
UGAGGAAUUUUGCGCAAUGGGGGAAACCCUGACGCAGCAACGCCGCGUGAGUGACGAAGGCUUUUGAGUCGUAAAACUCUGUCAAGUGGGAAGAAAUUGCCCAUCAUUAAUACUGGUGGGCAUUGACGGUACCACUAAAGGAAGCACCGGCUAACUCCGUGCCAGCAGCCGCGGUAACACGGGGGGUGCAAGCGUUAAUCGGAAUUAUCGGGCGUAAAGGGCGCGCAGGCGGCCAUGUAAGUCAGAUGUGAAAGCCCGGGGCUUAACCCCGGAAGUACGUUUGAUACUAUAUGGCUUGAGUAUGGGAGAGGGAAGUGGAAUUCCUGGUGUAGCGGUGAAAUGCGUAGAUAUCAGGAGGAACACCGGUGGCGAAGGCGACUUCCUGGACCAAUACUGACGCUGAGGCGCGAAGGCGUGGGUAGCAAACAGGAUUAGAUACCCUGGUAGUCCACGCAGUAAACGGUGAUCACCAGGUGUAGUGGGUCUUUACCCCCGCUGUGCCGAAGCUAACGCAUUAAGUGAUCCGCCUGGGGAGUACGAUCGCAAGGUUA